rnacentral:rRNA from 1 species
UACGUAGGGGGCUAGCGUUGUCCGGAAUCAUUGGGCGUAAAGCGCACGUAGGCGGUUUGUUAAGUCGGAUGUGAAAUCCCUCGGCUCAACUGAGGAAGUGCAUCCGAAACUGAGUAGCUAGAGUACGAAAGAGGGUCGCGGAAUUCCCGGUGUAGAGGUGAAAUUCGUAGAUAUCGGGAGGAACACCGGUGGCGAAGGCGGCGACCUGGGUCGAGACUGACGCUGAGGCGCGAAAGCGUGGGGAGCAAACAGG